UACGGGGGGGGCAAGCGUUGUUCGGAAUUACUGGGCGUAAAGGGCUCGUAGGCGGCCAACUAAGUCAUACGUGAAAUCCCUCGGCUUAACCGGGGAACUGCGUCUGAUACUGGAUGGCUUGAGUUCGGGAGAGGGAUGCGGAAUUCCAGGUGUAGCGGUGAAAUGCGUAGAUAUCUGGAGGAACACCGGUGGCGAAGGCGGCAUCCUGGACCGAUACUGACGCUGAGGAGCGGAAGCCAGGGGAGCAAACGGG
rnacentral:rRNA from 1 species